rnacentral:rRNA from 1 species
UUGAACGCUGGCCGGCAUGCCUAACACAUGCAAGUCGAACGGCAGCACAGUAGAAGCUUGCUCUAUGGGGUGCGAGUGGCGGACGGGUGAGUAAUGCAUCGGGAUUCUACCCAAACGUGGGGGAUAACGUAGGGAAACUUACGCUAAUACCGCAUACGUCCUAUGGGAGAAAGCGGGGGAUCGCAAGACCCUCGCGCGGUUGGACGAACCGAUGUGCGAUUAGCCUUAGUUUGGUAGUGGUAAUGGCUACCAAGGCGACGAUCGCUAGCUGGUCUGAGAGGAUGAUCAGCCACACUGGAACUGAGACACGGUCCAGACUCCUACGGGAGGCAGCAGUGGGGAAUAUUGGACAAUGGGCGCAAGCCUGAUCCAGCAAUGCCGCGUGUGUGAAGAAGGCCUUCGGGUUGUAAGCACUUUUAUCAGGAGCGAAAUGCCAUUGGUUAAUACCCGGUGGAGCUGACGGUACCUGAGGAAUAAGCACCGGCUAACUUCGUGCCAGCAGCCGCGGUAAUACGAAGGGUGCAAGCGUUAAUCGGAAUUACUGGGCGUAAAGCGUUCGUAGGCGGUGACUUAAGUCUGCUGUGAAAUCCCCGGGCUCAACCUGGGAAUGGCAGUGGAUACUGGGUCGCUAGAGUGUGAUAGAGGAUGGUGGAAUUCCCGGUGUAGCGGUGAAAUGCGUAGAGAUCGGGAGGAACAUCAGUGGCGAAGGCGGCCAUCUGGAUCAACACUGACGCUGAGGCACGAAAGCGUGGGGAGUAAACAGGAUUAGAUACCCUGGUAGUCCACGCCCUAAACGAUGCGAACUGGAUGUUGGUCUCAACUCGGAGAUCAGUGUCGAAGCUAACGCGUUAAGUUCGCCGCCUGGGGAGUACGGGUCGCAAGACUGAACUCAAAGGAAUUGACGGGGGCCCGCACAAGCGGUGGAGUAUGUGGUUAAAUUCGAUGCAACGCGAAGAACCUUACCUGGCCUUGACAUGUCUGGAAUCCUGCAGAGAUGCGGGAGUGCCUUCGGGAAUCAGAACACAGGUGCUGCAUGGCUGUCGUCAGCUCGUGUCGUGAGAUGUUGGGUUAAGUCCCGCAACGAGCGCAACCCUUGUCCUUAGUUGCCAGCACGUAAUGGUGGGAACUCUAAGGAGACUGCCGGUGACAAACCGGAGGAAGGUGGGGAUGACGUCAAGUCAUCAUGGCCCUUACGGCCAGGGCUACACACGUACUACAAUGGUCGGUACAGAGGGUUGCAAUACCGCGAGGUGGAGCCAAUCCCAGAAAGCCGAUCCCAGUCCGGAUCGAAGUCUGCAACUCGACUUCGUGAAGUCGGAAUCGCUAGUAAUCGCAGAUCAGCUAUGCUGCGGUGAAUACGUUCCCAGGGCCUUGUACACACCGCCCGUCACACCAUGGGAGUGAGUUGCUCCAGAAGCCGUUAGUCUAACCGCAAGGGGGACGGACGACCACGGAGUGGUUCAUGACUGGGGUG